rnacentral:lncRNA from 1 species
UUGAAUCCAAAUUCUUCUUCAGAUUGAAAUAGGAAUUCUUGAAACGAGGGGUGAUUCAAGUACGAUACUGGAAUCACAAAGCGCUUCUUUUCAUCGUCCCCAACAUAAACAGCAACAUGCCCUUUCGGAACUUCAUCUGCCCUUCUUUCGCUUGAUAAAGAUCGUCUCAAAAUUUGACGAAUGGCCAUUGUUGUAUGAAUAAGGAUCUUUCUCAAGUGAAACAAAUACUCUUUUUGCAGAUUUCUUGUGAUAGAAAACGAAAGUAAAAAACUAUAGAAUUUUGAAAAUUUGUUGAUGGUUGUGGUUUGGAAAUUUGUUGUAUAUAUAGAGAGGUGAACAAGCAAUGUUGAAUACCUAUAAAGUUUGAUUAGCAACAACCACAAAAUGGAUGUGUGAUGGCUAUAAAACUUGGAAAAACACAAGCACAUGAGAAAUCACAUGGAUCUGUCUAGCUAUCAUUUAAUGUAUAUAUAAGAUUUGAAGCAAGAAAUUGAAAUUUUUGAGGAAUUAAAGACUUAAUCCCCUACCAACUCUACCUAUCAUGGCCCUCAAAUUGCCCCACAGAAAUUAUAAUUUUUAGAUCAAUGAAAAUUUGUAUAUAUAAUUUUAUAGCACUCUAAUAAUCCAUUUGGCUUUGCUGUUUGUAAACAUAUCAUUAAUGUGGUCCACAACAGCUCAUGUGAUUAUGUUUCUGCAACUAUAAAUCCUAAAACAGUAAAAUUUAAUUAGAAGCAGUUGAAAAUGAAGAGGGGAAAUUGAGACAGGCUUGACUUGUGAUGAAGAAUUCACAUGAUUCUGUGUUUCAAUAAUUUAUAGGGUCUAAAAGAUGAUGUAACAGAUACAACAGUGGUCAUGUUGAAACAUAGUAGAAAAUGAAGAGGGAAAAAUGAGACAGACUUGACUUGUGAUGAAGAAUUUCACAUGAUUCUGUGUUUCAAUAAUUGAUAGUAGUAAAAGAUGAUGUAACAGAUACAACAGUGGUCAUGUUGAAACAUAUAUAGUGAAAAGUUUGAUUAAAUCAGAUACAACAGUGUAAUUUGUGGAAUUUUGAAAAGCUAUUUGAUUUGUGUGGGCCAUGCAUGUAGAGUUGGAUGGGGAACAAACAAUGCUUUCAAUCCAUCAAAAUCUUCAUUUUAAUUAUUUCUUAAUCAUUGAUAGACAAAUCCAUGUGCAUGAUUUCUCUCAUGUGCUUGUGUUUUCCAAAUUUCAAAGGGAUGCAACACCUAUAUAUACAACAUGUACAUUUCUCAACUUCAACCAUCAACAAACAAGCCUUCAAAAAAUUCUCUAGCUUUCUUGAUUUUGAUUUCAUUCAUAACUACUAUACUCUUCUUAUUUAACUUGAGAGAAGGUUCAAAAAAUGGCCAUUCGCCAGAUUCUGAGACGAUCUUUCUCCAGCGAAAGAAGGUCAGCUGAAAUAGUUCCCAAGGGGCAAGUUGCUGUUUACGUUGGAGAUAAUGAAAAGAAGCGGUUUGUGAUUCCAGUGGCGUACUUGAACCACCCCUCAUUUCAAGAGUUGUUGUUCCAAGCUGAGGAAGAAUUCGGGUUCAAUCACCCGAUGGGCGGCCUCACCAUCCCUUGCAGUCAAGAAUAUUUUAGAUUUCAUCUCUGGUUUCAGCUCGAGAUGAUUUGUAGCAAUGGUUUUAGGAGGACUAGAGUUUUGUAGAUUAGAAAUGGUAUAUAUCCAAUGGAAUAUAUAAUAGUAGAUGAAUAUACAUGAAAAAUUUGUGGACCAGCUUUUGUUACCUUAAUCUGUUGAUUUUCUUAUUGAAAGUUCUUAGAAAGCAAACACAAAAUUCAGGUGAAUAUAUUCGGUUGAUCAAUCCAUUGAAGAAAGGUCUGCUUGCAAGUCAUUUUCUAGCAUUAAAAUUGUUUAUCUGCUAUGAUUUCCAAAAUGACUUUGCUAUAUAUGUUUUUAAAAAAUCAUUUGUUUCUGGAAUUUGAUGUAUGUGAGGCAUUUAAGGGACAUGUAGCUAAGAAUUUAUGUUCGCAAUUUAUAGGCUCGUGAACAUAUUCGCGAACAAGUUCGAGCUGAACAUGUUCGCAAGCUUAUGAGCCGAACAUAUGUAGGCUCGAGUUUAGCUCGUUCAGGAGAUGAACGAAUUUUGAACGAGCUUUUUUCGAGUCGAACUCCGAAUAGUUCGCAAGCGACUUGGUUUGUAAGUUUACAGCCCUUGUAACCUCACCAUCCCUCGCAAGCGACUUGUUUGUAGGUUUCGUCUCUGGCUUUGGCAGAAGAUGAUGUGCUUAAAAGGAUAAUUUUUUUUGGAUAUUACCAUAUAAUGUAUUCAAUGAAAAAAAUAAAAAAUAAAAUUCAAAUACAUGAAUGAAUACACAUGACAAAUUCUUAGCCAUGAUAUUCUUAGGGGUGUAUUGGUUGUAGAGUCUGUAGGAUUUUUUUGGACUUUGAAAGUCUGGGGGUAUUCAAUCCAAACUUUUAAAAGUCUUUAACAAUCUAGAGGUAUUCAAUAUAAAAUUUAAAAAGUCUUAAAAAAUCUUUAGGUAUUAAAAAAUCUGUGGAUUUUAAAACUUUGUGGAUUUUGAUGGAUUCUUCUUCAAAAAUACAAAGAGAGAAAUCUCACCUCAUCACACGAGAUUUCUAUGGAUUCUUUCACCUCUCUUCUGUCCAGCGCUCGUUCGAGAUCAACGAGCGUUGAUGCUUUGAGUCAAGCUUCUCAGCGAUUGCUGGGCUCCAACUCCGGUUCCAGCGGUCGCUGGUCACUGGCCGACGCUGGGUUGCUCCGAUUCCAGCGAUAGCUGGGUCCAGUCGACGUUGGAUUGUUGCCUUCCUAAUUCCUAUCAAGUCGAUAAAAAUCAAUAAAAAAAAGUAAGUCAAACUCUGCAUAGAGUCUAUAAAUUUCCUAAAUUGACGAAUUUCUAGUGGAGAGUAAUAUUUCAAUAACGAGCGUUCAAUCUCCAAAUUUUUAAAAUUCUAUCUAAUCGAAUUUCUUCAAUCAAUUUGUUUAUUUAAUUGUACUUAUUAUAUGAUAAUGAAAUGAAUGGUGGUGUUAGAAUUACAAUAAUGGGAUGCAGCUCAAUUGGCAACACAUCCAGAGAACACAUUAAGGAUGUGCAUUGGUCACACAAACUCCAUAUAAGUUUUCAACACAUUAAAAAAUGUUAAGUGAGGGCCCUUGUUGCCAUUGUUGGUAGACUACAUAGUUUUACAUCACAAAUUCUUGUUUCUUCAAAAACAAAAAUUAAAAAAUUAUGAUGAUAUGAUUCAAAGACAAUCCAUGUGAAUGUGUUUCCAAAUCCCAAAGCCACCACAUAUCCAUUUCAACUAGCAACUCUGAAUUCCAAAGAGAUAACACAUUUCUUUCUAUGUAUAUACACAACACAAUUCUCAUCUUCAACCAUCAACAAGCCUUCUUUAGCACUCUUCUUGAUUUUGAUUUCUUUCACCACUACUUGAUAGAAAGAAAAUAAAAAUCUCCCAUUUCACUUACUUGAUUUGUUACACAAUGGCCAUCCGCCAAAUGCUGAGACGGUCUUUAUCCAGUGAGAGAAGGUCAGCUGAAGUAGUUCCCAAGGGGCAUCUUGCUGUUUAUGUUGGGACGAAUGAAAAGAAGCGAUUUGUGAUUCCAAUAUCAUACUUAAACCACCCCUCGUUUCAAGGAUUACUGUUUCAAGCUGAGGAAGAAUUCGGGUUCAAUCACCCCAUGGGAGGCCUCACAAUCCCUUGCAGUCAACAAUCAUUUGUAGAUUUCAUCUCUGAGUUCAGCUCAAGAUUAGAAUAGAAUUUUGUAAAUUAGAAAGUGUAUAUGUAUACAUUAGAAAUACAUAAUAGUAGAUGAAUAUACAUGAAAAUUUAUGGAGCAAACUUUUGUCACCUGAAUAUGUUGAUUGAUUUCUCCAAGAAUGAGCUUUUUCUUAUUUGAAAGAAAACACACAAUUCAGGUGAAAAUAUUUGGCUGAUCAACCCACUGAAGAAAAGUCUGCUUGCAAGUGAUUUUCUAGUAUUAAAAUUGUUUAUCUGGCUCUAUAUGAUUGGAUAUAUAUAUAUCAUGAGAGUUGUUUUCACAUUCUGAAACGAUUUUCUAGUAUUAAAAUUCAGGUGAAUAUAUUUGGCUGAUCAAUCCCCUAUAUGUUUUAAAAUUAUCUUUUUCUGUAUUUGAGUUACCAUCAUGAGAGUUGUUUUCACAUUCUGAAACGAUCGUAUUAAAAUUCAGGUGAAUAUAUUUGGCUGAUCAAUCCCCUAUAUGUUUUAAAAUUAUCUUUUUCUGUAUUUGAGUUACCAUCAUGAGAGUUGUUUUCACAUUCUGAAACGAUCUUUAUCAAGUGAAAGAAGGUGAGCUGAAGUUCCAAAAGAGCAUUAAGGGAUGGAUAUAGUAUUAUUUUUUUAGAUUAAAUUUCUCUUUAAUUGUAAUUAUUAUAGCCGAUUAUAUAUUAAUUGCAGGUUAAUGUUUCAUUAAGGGGAUGUAGCUCAAUUGGCGGAGCAUUCAAAUUAUUGAGUAUGAUAUAGGGUUCAAAUCCCCAUCAUCUCCAAAAAAUUUAACUUUUAAUUAAUCAAAUUAAUAUUAUUAUAAACGAGUAAUUUUUUGAUUGGAGGUUCAUAGUUUCUUUAAUAAUUUUUUUCUUUAAUUGUAUAUUAUUAUAAACGAAUAAUUUUUUGAUUGGAGGUUCAUAUUUUAGUAAGGGGAUGUAGCUCAAUUGGCAGACCAUUCAAUUUGUUGAGAAUGAUAUAGGGUUCAAAUAUCAUCAUUAAUUUCCAAAAAAAUUUAAAUUCUAAUUAAUCGAAUUUCUUUUAAUCAAAUUGUGUCUUUAAUUGUAAUUAUUAUAACCGAUUAUAUAUUUAUUGGAGGUUUGAUGUUCAGUAAGGGGAUGUAGCUCAAUUGGUAGAGCACUCAAUUGUUGAGAAUGAUUUACCAUCAUCUCAAUAGAGGAUGAUAUAGGGUUCAAAUCCCAUCAUCUCCAUAAUUUUUAAAUUCUUAUUAUUCGAAUUUCUUUUAAUAAACUUUACUCUUUUUUUGAAACGCAAAUAAACUUUACUCUUAAUUGUAAUUAUUAUAUCCUAUUUAUAAAAAAGCGUGAAGAUUAACAAAUUAAAAAAAAUGAAAACAAUUAAAGUAGAGCAUUCAACCGGAGGUUAACACACAAUUGAAGCUACAUCCCAAUAAGAAAAAACUCGGAGUCAACAGAUUAAGGUAACAAAUUUAAAAUAUUCUCAAUUAAAGUAUUAUUCUCAAUUUGAACAUAUAUAAUUAAAUCCGAUAUUCUCCAACAAUAUCAUGCUUUUGCAUCAAAAACUGGCUAAGAAUUUGCCAUGUAUGUUCAUUAAUUCAUGUAUCAGAAUCUGGAUUGAUUGAAUACAUUAUCUCCUAAUCUACAAAAUAUUUGAUCCUACUAAACAUCAUCAUCUUCUACUCAAGCCAGAUAUGAAAUCUACAAAUAAGUCCUCACUGCAAGGGAUGGUGAGGCCUCCCAUAGGGUGAUUGAAUCCGAACUCUUCUUCAGCUUGAAAUAGCAAUUCUUGAAAGGAAGGGGUGGUUCAAGUACGAUACUGGAAUCACAAAACGCUUCAUUUCAUCCUCCCCAACAUAAACAACAACAUGCCCUUUCGGAACUUCAGCUGCCCUUCUUUCGCUUGAUAAAGAUCGUCUCAAAAUUUGACGAAUGGCCAUUGUUGUGUAGAAUAAGAGUCUUUUUUGAAGUGAAACAAAUACUUUUCAGCAGGUUUCUUGUGACAGAAAUCAAAAGUGAAAAGCUAUAGAAUUUUGAAAAUUUGUUGAUGGUUGUGGUUUGGAAAUAUGUUGUAUAUAUAGAGAGGUCACAAGCAAUGUUGAAUCCCUC